GAGCGUUGUCCGGAAUUAUUGGGCGUAAAGAGCUCGUAGGUGGCUUGUCGCGUCUGCCGUGAAAGCCCGUGGCUUAACUACGGGUCUGCGGUGGAUACGGGCAGGCUAGAGGCUGGUAGGGGCAAGCGGAAUUCCUGGUGUAGCGGUGAAAUGCGCAGAUAUCAGGAGGAACACCGGUGGCGAAGGCGGCUUGCUGGGCCAGUUCUGACGCUGAGGAGCGAAAGCGUGGGGAGCGAACAGG
rnacentral:rRNA from 1 species